CCUCCAAAUCCCCGCACGCCUCUCCCCCAAUGGCGGCUGCCCCUUCCUCUCCCGCUCGACCCUGCUCUCUCCUCGCACGCCGCAGCCCCGCCGCCUCCUCGUCUCGUUCCACAACCCUGCCGCCCCUCAGCCCCGCCGUCGCCGUCGCCUCGCGCCCCCAGCCCUGCCGCUAGCUCGCGUGCGUUCGCCGGCCGACCUCGGGCAGGGGCCAUCGACACGGGCAAGGAGCGGCGGGACUGGUCCCCGCAGGGAUGGCGUGGGAGGGCAGCGCGGGCGACCUCCACCCAGCACCUUCCCUUUGUGGCCGUCCAAUGGGAAGGAGCACGGGAGGCCGCCAGCCGCCGCCAUCCCUGGCUCCACAAAGACAGGCAGCAGCCGGGCUCAUCCGAGGGCGCUAGCUACAGGAAACUGAUGAGGAGGGGAUGUUAGCUAACAAGGGUGUCCUCUCACUGUCCAGAUCGAUGCCUCACCAAGAAAAAGGUGAUCUGGUGUUGAGAGAAAUACUAUGCCUUUUUGCCGCGGGAUUACAAGAAAAAAAGCGGCAACAAGGAUGCAAUGAACUUCCAUGAGAACCAAAGUAGCGCACGACGACACUGAAUAUAGUAGGUGCUGCCCUCGCAACCAGUGCAACACCUCCAGCACCAGGGCCACUACCGUGCAAAAUGGCGGCAUCAGCAGCUAGAGGUCACGGACAACAGCAAAGCAAUAUCCUUGAUGCAGCUAGAAGUUAGCAGGGAAAGAAUAAUAUCCGGUCAAUAAUAGCAAGUCAAAUAGUUACAUGGUUGUAGGGUACAGUUCUGAGAAUUAACUGAUGGCACUAUAUGGGCACUUUUGUUUGGUGCUUAACAGUUGAAUAUUAGUAUGCUGGAGAAACGGAGCUGCUGAGACUGGAUAUUAUUUGCCAAAGAUUAAUUUCUCUGUGCAGUUUGUGUGUAUGGUGAGAAGCGACCAGACUAGGCUGACCAUUUUAGUUGGAUUUACUACUAGGUAUUCAGCCCUUGAUACACACAUAGGUAUUACAAUUUGCUUAUAUUAUCAUAUUAAUUGUUGGAGGAAGAUGAAGGUAGUAGUCAGUUGCAGGUGUUAAGAGUAUUCAUGUGUACCAAGAAGCUCUAGGAGUUGGGAGGAAGGAGGAGUCCAGGGGCAUCCAUUGGCGGCGGCAGGAAGCUCAGGGUCGAGUUGGAGGUGAGCAGCAAGAGGCAUGCAAGAGGGUCACCAUCGCUGGAGCACACCAUAGCUCAGACCAUCACCACAAGAAAUGGAGUUUGACACCCUGAAGCAAACUAGGUAAAAGUUAUCUGAAUAAAAGUGUUAACAUGCUUGUUUGUGUGGUGUCUGAUGUGUGGGUGAGAGAAUGAGAGAAUAUUUUGAAUGGGUAAGGAAAAAUACCAUUACGUGUUCUUUUCUAUUGGGUAUCCAAGGAUCUGUUCAUUAUUUUCUCACUUUUCAACUAUGCAUGCCCAUACACACAAUCUUCAGUUGAGUAUUAUCGCAAAUAACGAAAGUUCAGCUGAACCAAUUGGGUGUCAUGGAUUUCUUGCAUCUCAGAUUUAUACUUACGAGAAAAUCACGAGUUUCUCAUAUUUUAGGCCACCGUGUAGAUAUCUUGGAAGGAUUUUCUUAAAGAAAAUGAAUGCUGGAGUGUAUGCUCAUAGGUAGAUGAGUUGUAAAGGAAUAAAAGUUUGGUUAGUGUAUUUAUACAGUAGCAUAAGUGGAGUCAUGAACACUGGAAGUACGCUCACGACUCAGCCAGGUUCUCGGUCUUCAAACAACAAUCAGCUGUGGUCUCUUUCUCAGGUAAUCCCUACCAGCUGGUGCACCCGUGUCUCUUUCUCAGAUUUCUUGUUCUACCGUGUUAACGAGUACAUGAACCUCAGGUGGCUGGGGUUUUCAUGAAACAUCACAUUCUGGUGGGCGUGGUUUCAUAGUAAGGAAUGAUUGUGGAGUGCUUAUUGUUGUAAGAGCAAAAUGAAUCAUGUCCGGCCUCCGUUGUUGUAACAUGAGGAGCACAGCCUGCUGCACCACGACGUCGAGCUCAUCUGGAGCCCAUCGGCGGAACGGCGGCCCGCAGAAGUAGCGCCGUCUGUUCCUUGAGCUGCCGCCACACGCUGUCUUGUCGCUAGGAGGAGCGUGUCGGUAAUCCACAUGAGGUGACAACUGAAGGAUCGGAAGAGAAAGGUUUUUGCGCUGCAAUUCAAAUGAACAUUGAUCAGAUCCACGAAAUCGUCCAAAUGUGUCCAGGAGCUGGCUCUAAGGGAAGUUCUGAUGAUCCUUCUCUCCGCCAAUGGAUAUAUUUUGUCUAAGGCAAGUUUUAAACUUCCAAAACUAGACUACUACAGUGAUGAUUUGGCUGGAGUCUAUGGAGCCAAGUUUACUCCUAUGUACAAAAUACAAGGAGGAAAGGUGACUCAAGGAUUGGCAGCGUAGAACAUGGCCAGGAGGUCAGGACUAUCACAUUGGAGCAUACUCAGGUUGCAUUUGGUUCCCUUCCAGAAACCAGAAAUUAAUCGAGUACGAAGGAAAUAAGAUGAUAUUUUUGUGUAGAUCCAUGAUGCCUUCUUUCCUGUCCCGUCGACUUCAGAUUUUUGUAAGAGCAGUCACUCCGGUUUGUGUAAAGGACAUUUGAAAUUCGCGUUGAGCUGGUUGAGCCUCCAAAAUCUGCUGCCACGGGGAAGAAGGUAACCUUUCCAGGGCACUCGGGAGAGCCAGAGUCUUCUCUUAACGCCAAGAGUAAGAGUUGGAAGAAGUUAUCUGCUGACCUGCACAUCAACAACAAGUUUGUGGCAUGCCUCAAAGGUGGUUCACAACUUCGGUUGGGGUAUGCAAGGUCAAGAAGACAGACUGCAUGAAUCGGACAUACAAAAAUUGAGGCUGGGGUAUGCAAGGCAAGACUACAAAUACUAUGAUAAAUUAUGAUAUACUAUUUGAUCCGAUGUUCCAUGGAAUCAUGGUGUGUAACAUGCAUUAAAUGAUAGCCGAGGGACAACUAUUGUAGCCUGUGAAGAGAAGCAAUAAUAUGGUGAAUAUCUUCUAAGAUAGCUGAAUGAGAAGAACAGAUAAAUUGAUGUGUGCGGGAUACAUUUUGCCAACUGGGCUUUGUGAUGAUUUGGAUAUAACGUAGUGAAGGAACCUGAAGGUUCUCAUGUAUUCUUAAGUAUGAA